rnacentral:lncRNA from 1 species
AUUUUGGACAAAGAAAGAUAACUCCAAUUAAAAAAAAAUCUUGCUAUUGCACAAUAUUUUGCAAUUAGAUAUUUCUUGCUUACUAUUCUGGACAAAGAAAGAUAACUCUAAUUAAAAAAAAAUUAGCUAUUUCACAAUAUUGUGCAAUUAGAUAUUUCUUGCCAUUGCGCAAUACUGUGCAAUUGAAAAGACUUGCUAUUGCACAAUACUUAAUAUAAU